GCUUGAGGAACGUGAAGUCAGAGACUGAGCCUGGGGUCCUAGUCUUGCUCUCACGGGUGAGAGUUCGGGGCCCCGAGUCGAAAACCAAAACAACGACUCUCAGCAACGGAUAUCUUGGCUCUUGCAACGAUGAAGAACGCAGCGAAAUGCGAUACCUAGUGUGAAUUGCAGAAUUCCGCGAAUCAUCGAGUCUUUGAACGCAAGUUGCGCCCGAGGCUUGUCCCGAGGGCAUGCCUGCCUGAGCGUCACCGCACUCCCACUCCCGUGGUUACAUCUCGGUUCGAGGACCGGGGGUGCUGCCGAGAGUGGAACUGGCCGUCCGGGACCCGGCGUGAAGCCGAUGGUCGUGGUUGGCUGAAAUGCAGCGUUCUGGACGCAGCUUAAGAGAGGAGCCGCGAGAAGGUGAUCCGCCCCUCGCCGGGCGGAGUCAAAAGACAGCGGUUCUCUCGCUUGGGUGGUCCGGGACGACCGCGGCGGGGCACAGCCCCGUCGGGGAAAUGCGAGGGGAUGGCCUGUCCAUCUCCCUCUCCAGCUUGGACCUCAGAUCAGG
rnacentral:rRNA from 1 species